rnacentral:tRNA from 1 species
GGGGGUGCAUGUAUCCCGGUGGAUGCCCUGGUCUUCAAAACCAGUGACAGGUUACGUGUUAAGCUGUGGUCGGUUCGACUCCGAUGCGCUCCCG